CUGGAGGCUGGAAGAGAAGGAUUCGGACCCGGCUUGAGAGAGGGGCUCAAGGGCCAGAGGCCUGCAAGUCCCUUUAGUAAAGAGCAGACAGUCACUACACGAAAUGCAGAACUCCAGGCAAGACCAAGCUUCCAGGAUCCCUCCUAUGGGGGAGGCCCAGAAUGGCUCCCUCUUAUACCGGGCUGCCCCGCAGAGCCGCUGAGAGACCUGGGAGUCUGCCAGCUCCAGGGAUUGGGCUGAAGGCAGGGCCUGACCUGGGAGCCGUGAGCCUUGUGGGGGGUGGGGGGCAGAAUGGCAGGGAAGGGCCGACCCCCACUCACUUGAUGUGCUGGAGGCUGUGGUUCCCAGAGAGUGCCGUGGCAACGCAUAUCACCCCAUCCAUCCCCAAGGAAUUCUCUUGAAGACUAGGCAGAGAAAAGAUGCAGACACCAUCGUGAGCCAUUCGGGACAGAACACGCGCCGGGAAGCAGCGCUGCAUCGAUCACAGGUGCCCCAGCAAGAGCAAGGUGGCCUUUACCCCUGAGACCAGUGUCUACCGGUAGCCAGGUGGUCCCGUCCGAGCGCCAUGGAGGAUGGAAGACCAAAAAUGCAGGCAUUAAAUGGCUUACCUCUGACAUAAGCUAGGUAGAAUGAACAAACUCAUCUGCAACGUGGACUCUAGUGCUAUUUCUAGUCAGAGGGAAGCGGCUUACAGAGGAAGUCAAGAGCUUCUCAUUACGUGGGGAGGUUCCAGCAGAGAAGUCUGCUGUGCCAGGGCGGAGGUAGGUCUCUGCAACCACUCACUUGAGUCUUCGGAGACUUGAGUUGACCUUCAGAGCAUUUGCCAGGGCUUUGGCUCCGGCCACCCCGAUGGCGUUUCCUCUUAAGCUGUCAGGAAAGAUACGAAGCCUAAAGCACAGUGACAGCUGUGGGGUGUAAACAGUACCUCCUCAGACGAGCACGGGCCGCUGGGUAGAGGCAGCAGGGACGUAGCAACCACGGGGGGCGGUUCCUCCUUCCUGACUCCCCGGCCCAGAACAGAGAUCGGCUCUGGGGAGCAGGACGCACCAAGAGGGGUGAAGCUGGCCCAACCUGGGUGGUUUGUUGGAGCCCUCGCCCUCCAUCCCAAAGGAAGGAGAGUGGGGUUGAGGUGAGAGAGGAGACACUUCCUCCAGCGGUCCCCACAUGCUCAGCAUCACAGGACCACAAGAGCAGGAAUGACUGAGACAUGCCUGAGACCCCCACUGAGCUUAAGUCGCCCUUGCCCCUGCCCCCGCCCCCGCCCGGGGUUUGGAUCUACUCCUAGACCAAGGUCAGUGGCCAAGGACCCCUACAGAGGACUUCAGGAUGUGCGCAGCCUGGGCAAGACCGAGGAGAGCAGGAGCCACAGCGGUGACUCCCAGGGAAGAGGUGUGAGGUGGCAGCGGGGAAGCUGGGGAAAACUUCAUCUGAGUGACGGUAUUUAAGUGGUUUGUGACUUUCCAUGUAAAUUGACAUUUUUUCCCUUCUGUAUCUUCAUUUUGAAUCAACAGCUUGGUUCGUUUGGGUAAGAGACAGCAACCAGACACUGGAAUACUCACUCGAGAAUCUCCAAGGUCCUGUUCACAGCCAGGGCAUCCCCUAGCGCCUGGGCCCCCCGGGCACCAAUGGAGGCCACCUGCAGACUAUGCAGAAGAGAUGGGGUCAGUGCGGACAGGCUGGGGCGCUCUGGCCUGCACCCCGCCUGGCCCAGCUUCCAUGCAUCCUUGUCCUUCCUUCUCCACCCCUGGACUGAGGGCUGCAAGUGACAACGUAGCGCUGAAAACUGUUGGCCUGUGAUCCGUCCAGAGAGCGCCACGCCUCCAGCCUCCCCUGAUGCCGAGGACAGAGAUCGGGAUGCUACGGAUACGGGAAGGAGAGGUGGUUCCCUGGAGGGUUUGAGGAAAAACACUCCCUGAACCCCUACUUCUUACUCUGUCCCAAUUGCUAACAUUAGGAAAAUUUAACACCUUCUUGGCUGGGAAGCAACACUGAUGUUUGGUAUGAAAGCAGGGCUCAGGGCCGGCUGCCUGGGCGGCCGUGCACGUCAACACUUACUAGAGAGCGGUGAGGGCCGUGUUGGCCUUUAGUGCGCUGGCCAGUGCGGAGGCGCCCUCGUCCCCGAUGGCGUUCUCCUGCAAACUGAACACAGAGCGUGACCCCCGGGCUCACAGGGCACGGGGCUAGCGGCACUCCAGCAUGACGUCCUGAACUUGGACCUUCUAGUUUUCAUUCAGACCACGCACACCGCAGACUAGACUCCCAGGGUUGCCGAGGGGAUAACCGACCCCGCGGCCUCCUAAAUAACAUGCAGAGGGCUCUGGGGUCUCUAUGAACCUGGAUCAUCAGAAGCAAACAAGAAAAGGGACGCGUGGAAAUACGCUUAAGGGUGAGGACAAAAAAAUGGGCGUGCCAGCCAGAGAAUUCAGUAGAAGUCCUUAGUCCCUGGCCAUUCUUGCUCAUCGGGGUUUUACAUCUUUUUUUUUUUUUUUUCCUUCCCUUCCACAUUGGAGUAAAGUCAGUACCUAGCGCAGUAAAUGUUGGAGAGUUUACCUCGGGUGGGCAUUGGGGUGUUGAAGGGAGCCGUUUGCAUUCGCGAUUUUAGCAGACGUGUUAGUGCGUGUGGUGCCCUGGCCUGAUCCUGUCUCAGGUGGGCGGUUGUGACUGAACGAGCCGGCACCGUGGGCCACGUGCUGGGGGGACGGAGGAGCCCGUGGGGUCUCCUGCCCCCGUGUGGUCACGGAGGCCACCGGGAGAAAUAGGUCUGAACUGAAACCUGCAGGAUGAGAGUUGGGGGAGGGGGCCUGGCACAUCCACGGAACCCAAAGAAAUGGCAUGAAGUGGCUGGCGUGUGAAAUGUCGGAAGCAGGCCUUCGGGGCCUUUGUUAGAAGCCACACCGAGGGGUGGGUUUCACUCUGCAGGCACUGGGCAGCCAUUGAAGCAUCUCGGGACGGGGACAGAUACACAUUUUGGAAAGACGUUUGGCCAGCAGUGUGAGCGGAUGGACUGGAUGUGGAGGCUGCUACGGGGACGCAGGGUGAGUGGAGCUGGUGGCCUGACGGUGGCCGCGAGGGUAGAGGGAGACGGUGGGGCCUUGGGAGGAGAGUCGCAAGUGGGAAGCGAGAACAGAGACGAUGUUUCUAGCUCGCAGGCUGGGUUGGCCGGGCCCGUUCGUGAGGUGGAGCUGAGAACAGACUCGUGGGGAAGCGGCGUGGGCAGUGAUUACGUGGGUCUGGGGCUCAGGAGAGAGGGGUCUAGACACGGGGGCACCGGGACUUUGAAGUCCAGGAGUGUGCGAGAGGACAGCUUCUGGAAUAGAGAGCUCGUUCGAGACAAGGUGGCCUAGAACAGAUCCCUGAGGAGCCCCAGGAUGUCAGUGAGACAGAAGAACCAGCCAGAAAUGGGCUAUCCUGGAUGCCAAGGGAGAAGCCAUGGGCGUGGUCCAAAGCAGGCGAGACUCAGAGGGUUAGAGACAGGGUUCCCAUUCAACUCCGCGGCUCCACUCGCUCAUGUGCCCAAGAGAAAUGAAAGCGUAUGUCCAGGCAGAAGCUUGUACACAAACGUUCACAGCAGCGUUACGAGAGCCAAACUGUCCAAACCACCCAGAUGUUCCUCGACAGAUGAGGGGAUAAAUGGCAUGCCAAUCUGCACAGCGGAAUAGGAUUCAGCCACAGAAAGGAAUGAAGCCCUGAUUCCUGCUGCAACCUGGGUGAACCUUGGAAACCUGAUACCGAACGAAAGACCUUGGUGGCAAGAGGUCACACGCUGUUCAGUCCCACGUACGUGAAGUGUCCAGUACAGGUGGUGAAAAUAUUGUGGAACUACAUAGAGGUGAUGAAGGAACAACUGUGAACGUACUAAGUGACACUGACGUGUAUACUUUAAAGUGGUGAAUUUCACCCCAAUAAAAAUACAUAAAUGAAGAAACAAAUGACAGUACACACUCAACUAAGGAUGGGUACAACCACAUGUGACAACUCCUAAAAGGAGCACAGCAAACCCUAGGAACAUUCUAGAGAAUGGCACUUUCAGCGUCCUGGAAAACACCUCAGGGGAACAUCCUGACACCAUGGCCUUGGGGAUUUCCCAUUCGAUGGAAGACAAGAGGUUUUCCUCAUAGAUUAUUUUGCUUUUCCACCUCUAUACAACCGCAUCCUCCUUUUCCUCUAUCCCUGGCUUAGGCUGUACACACAAGGACAAUGAGCACAGAAGAACUGAAACCUGAAACUUGUAUAGACACGAGAUCACGUGGCAUCCACCUAGACAGGAGCCAGGAUAGCAUGCCUGCCAUUUUGAAUCAUCUCCCUCUCCAUGGUUGGCACCUGGGAGAGGGUUUCGUGGGCCCUCUGCUGGUUAUAUCGGGAUGUGGAGCAGAUGGCGCAUACCUCAGAAAGGCCAGAGUGCGGUUAAUCUUCAGAGCAUCUGCCAGAGCCUUGGCCCCUUGAGGUCCGAUGGAGUUACCGCGGAGGCUGGCGGGAAGAAGAGAGAGAAAGAACCGUUUUCUUUUAUCCAGUUCCCAGGGAGGAAAGAAAGAAGUUACACUGACCUUUAAAUCUACGCUCUUUGAAAAUAACGGGGUUUAAGAUUUCAUGUUUUGUGGAGAUCCUUAUUCAGGUGAACAAGUAAGGAAUUUCCCAGUAUGGCCCCCCAGUAUGAUGGGGGGUCAGCGGGGACUGGUGGGGGGAGCAGGAUCUGAUGGCCAUGGCUUGGGCCAAGUAUGGAGAGGAGAAUCAUACCAGCUUCAGGGCCAAAAUUCUGGUGCCUCCCUGGGCUGAUCCCCACAACUGACGAGGAGCCAGGAAUUUGCUCACUCUGCUGUCCUUCCAACCGACCCAGGGGACAGUGUGGUCUGGGCGACUUCACAAGAUGGCUGACAAGCUUUCCCUGUCCCAGUGGUGGAACGUUGGCCUCUGGUGUCCUACUUACUCCAGAGCGGUCAGACUUCUGUUGACCAGGAGGGAUCUGGCCAGAGCUUUGGCCCCUUUGUUACUGAUCUGGUUCUCAGCCAAGCUGCCCAAGGAGAAGGAGAAGAGUGGUUAUUGCAGGUCUACAACUGUCAUGGCCUCUUCCUCAACACCAGGCUUGUGAUCCAAACCUCCCGGUUUCACCAGCAUCAUGAGGGCCUGGACGCAGGUGGAGAUGACGUGAGCCCUGGAGCAGAAUCGCCCAGGCCAGGAAAGCCUCUGAGCCAAGUAAGAGGGAUUGCAUUUCUAUCUCUGGCCGCUAGCCCAAGGGGAUCCUGCUAAUAGCCGGCCCUCAUCCAGUGCUUCCUCUGUGCCUGGCCCGUCCUCGCUGCUUGCCUCGAGUUAACCCACUGAAGCCGCUUCAACAACCGGAAGGGGGAAUGUGCAGGAAAGGGUUAACCUUGCCCCCAGUUCCAGAGAGGUGACCUCUGAACGCUUGGCAUGUCCUGCCUGAUAAGUCUGUCUGUGUUUACCUGGGGCCCUUGGGCCGUGCAGUGGCAGCCCGACGUCCCUACCUCCGGAGGGGCUUCCCGUGACCCACCUCCAGUAAAAUGCCUGGACCCAAGCCCGGGUGCGCCUCCCCGGUUGGAACGCUUCAAGUGUGCUGUUGCGCGUGGUGGCUGGGGAGGCGGGCCCUGUCUGCACCAGCACAGCGGAAGGACUGCUGAAAGCUUGCCCCUGUCUCUCUGGGGCCCGCCUCAUGCACCCUUCCCUCUGCACAUUUAAAUCCGUAUCCUUUUGAUGUCCUGAACCACAAGUGCAGGUACAACAGCUCUUCUGGGUUCUGUGAGUCCUUCUAGUGAAUCAUUAAACCUUUGGGGGGGGGUCCCGGAGACCCCAGACUCACAGAUACCGUUUUAACCCCAUGUUUACACUCCUUUGGCACAGAGUUGACUGUACAGGGUCACACAGAGCCCACCGCUCGCCACUGUCUUCCGUGACUUCUUUUGGCUCCUGACUUACUCCGUGUUUGUGUUUGUUUUCUCAGAGAUUGUUCCUGAACCCAGAGGGAGGCUUCAGUGAGGAUGAAGAAUUCCUCUCUGGAUCCUGUCCUCCAGACUCCUCUCCCUAGUUCUAACCACCCCCAGGUCACAAGCCCACUCCUCAGUGUUCCUGAGACUUGGAAAUGUGAUCACAGGAGAUUUCACAAGCACGAAACUCUAUUUUGCCGUCAGCACACAGACUUGUGUCUCAUCACACCAUUAGAGUCAAUGUUUAAAUUUUAUUCUUUUGUACUCGUUUAAAUAAAAGUUCAAAUUUAAAUCCAAAUUUUAAAUUAAAAAAUCUCUAAUUUAAUUUCAAGAACCAAUCCUGUGCCUGUAAUACUGUUUUGAGGGCAAACGUUGAGAGGAGCUUAGAGAACAUCGUGCCUCGCAGUACUUCGGAACGUUGAGUAUCUGCGGAAAUGCUCCCAUGUCCACCAGAGCACCUGACCCUCACCAUAUCCCUUCCCUCUUCUUACAGGUGAGGGACCUGAGCCUCUGGAACUUUCCGGAAGGGGCAGAAACAAGCAGCCACGUGUUUCCAAGGCACCUCUCCUUGCAAGCGCCUCUGGCCGAUUGAGCAGAGAGGAGGACGGGAAAAUAGCCCUGGACCCCGUGCGACAGGUCCACGAGGGCUUUCACUUGCCCAGCCGGGGAGCCGGGGCCUCGGCCCUGGCCUGCCUCCCCGCCGGUCCGCACCUCCUGCUUCCUCAUGGGGUCCGCGAUGGCCGCCAGCAGCUGCGAAGAGAGGGCCUGAGGUGCCGUGUGCCGCGUCACCACCCUGGCCUGGGACAGGUGAGUGAGCCUCCAGGGAUGGGGAGGGACCCACUCCCUGUCCUUCCCCAGGCUGCCGGUGGCCCCCUCCGUCCGGCCUCCAGGAAGGGCCGGGAAGGGCUGUUCGUUCCUGGAUGGCGAGCGUCGUCCCUGACGCCAGGAGCAUGGUGGAUAAGAACCGGGCCCAGGCUGGAACCUGAGCUCCGCCACUUACUGGCUGUGUGGCACCGGGCAGGCCGCCUGAGCUCCUCGUGCUGUGCUGUCCUCAUUUGUGACCUGGAAGUGGAGACGGGGUUAAGAGCAGGUCUGCUCCCGAGAAGGGGAGAAUGAAGGAGGUCAAUCUGGAAAGGCCGUGUGCUCUGUGAGCCCAGCUCUGUGACCCCCCUGGAAAAGGCAAAACUGUGGAGAAAGGGAAAAGAGCAUCCGUGGUUGCCAGGAGGGGAGGGGUGAGUGAGUCAGGAGGGAGCCCCUGGGGACUUCUGACCCCAGCAGCGCCCUUCUCUGCUGGGCGCUGCAGUGUGGGGCCACCGAGAGGCGGAGCCGUGCGGGGCCCCACCUGCUCCCGUCGCUUUCCCUGAGGCUCCGAGUGGAUCCCGUGUGUCCCUCCCUCACCUACGGUGGGCGCUCCAGGACCCCCGGCGCGCCCCUGCCCCCUCCUCACCUGCAGCGGGCAGGGUGUCCGGCCCACAGCAGCUCCUCCGGCAGGGCCCCACGAACUCAGGGGGUGGGGGUCGGCCAUCCCUCGCCCAGGGGUCUAGGAGAGAAGACAGGACAGGGCUGAGCAGAGGCUACACCUGCCGCUCCGGAUACCAGCCGCUCAGUGAAAUGGGUCUGGCCCGUGUCUUCUAGCUUGGCGGUUCUCUGGGUCUCAACGAUCGUCACUUAGGGGAGGGGUCACCUGACUCCAGCCCCAAGGAUCCGACAUGUUCCCUGACCUUGUGCUUGCCCUGGGCUUUCCUGGCACUCUAACUCGGGAUGAACCUUUUUACCUAGAAGAUGCUAAAAGGGGCUUGACAACAAGUAGAAUAGCGUUUUCCAGCCGUUCCGUCCGGAGCGCUGGUGAAGUGUUAGGUAGUGCAGUGAAUUCAGGGCAGGCCGUGUCCAGCCCAGCUGAGGGAGUCCGGCAGCGUUCGUAAGAGGCCAGGGGGAGGCCUCGCUCCUCCUUCUUAUUCGGACCCCCUGGCUGUUCCCCCUCUUUUGUUCUUCUUGGCGUCAAAUCCAAGGGGAAAAGAAACCAGAUGGGGUUCUGAGUGAAGUCUCACUAAUGUGGAUAGAUCGGUGUGGGUGUCACUGAGGAAGACAGUCUUGGUGCGUUGUAUCUCCUUUCCCAUCAAAUAUUAAGUAUUCAUGUUAUUUCCCAUCAUUUCUCAGUGAAUGCUUACUGCAGUAUGAAUAACUUCAUCUCUUUCCUAAAAUCGCAACACUUAUCCUGAACAAGUUUUCCCACAUGGGUCAGACCCUCCACCUCCCCCACGCAGUGGUGAGUGACGGGAAUCACACUGGGCAUCCUCGUCUGACUCCCAGGCGUGGUUCGAGCCCAAGCCAUCAGGCCUCAUGUUUGUGAUCGUGUCUAAGUUGUUCUCUCCUCUUGGAAAAGCUUCCUUCACUUCCUUGUGUCCUAGCACCAUUCACAUAACGCCACAUGAUUGCUCCUGAAGGCUUCCUGUGCUCCAGACGACGAUCUGUUAAACAUUGUACUUACAUCAUUUCGCUUCUUGUAACAACCCUUAUUAAAUUGUCACCGCUCCCGUUUUAUGGAUGAGGACAUUGAGGCUCAGAGAGGUUAAGUGACUGGCUCGAGGCAACACAGCUGGGGAGCAGCUGAGUUGAGAGAGAAACCAAGGCUUCGCUGACAACAGCCUUUGUGCUGGACAAUCUCCUGCCUCUUAUAGUAUGUCCCCACGUUUUUCUUAAUUAAAAAAAUUUUUUUAAUGUUUAUUUUUAAGAGAAAGAGACAGAGCGUGAGCAGGAGAGGGGCAGAGAGAGAGAGGGAGACACAGAAUCCAAAGCACGCUCCAGGAUCUGAGCUGUCAGCACAGAGCCCGACUUGGGGCUCGAAUUCACGAGCUGUGAAAUCAUGACCUGAGCCGAAGUCGGAUGCUCAACCAACUGAGCCACUGAGGUUCCCCUUGUACGUCCCCACAUUUAAAACAUUAGGCAUGUCUGUUAAAUUAGCAAGUACCUUUUUAGCAGUAUUGACCCAACCACAUGAUUUAUUUCCCUUCAGUCAUUGAAUCAGGAGGCAUUUAUUGAGGGCCUUUUGUGGCCUGUGGGCACUGGGGGAUCUGAAGGGAACAAGUUAGACAAGGUCCUGACCCUGUGAGUGUGAUCCGGGUGGGGCACAUGACAGUAAAGAAACCCAGUGAAUGAGUGAGGCCAUCUGACACGAUUAACGCUGUGAAUGAAACACACAGGGUGCAUGGCGGACUGGGUCGGCUGUCAUGGUGGCCAGGGAAGGCCUCUGUGAGAAGGCCACUUAGGAGCAGAGAUCUGAAGAGUGAGAAAGCGUGAAUUACACACAGAGCUGGGGGACAGCAAGUACACAUGCCCUGUGCAUUACUGGGGCAGAAAAAGCCAGUUGCUGGAGUACAGUGAAUGGGGGUAGGGGUGGGGCUCACAGGAUAAGAGGACGUUUGAGACCCACCCACCGUCAUAAUGGCCAUAAUGCGUUUGGGUUUGUACUAGGUGUGGUGGGAAGUCACUAGAGAGUGACAUGCUGGAUUUCAUAUCCAGUCUCUCCUUUAAUCUGUGAGCUACACUAUAGAUUUUCUAACAUUGAACCAACCUUAGGUUCUUGAAUACUAUCUUCCACGUGUAUUAAGCUGUGUAAAACAGGGUGGGCUAGCACAAGAAUAGAUACAGAAGUCAUCAGAACAUAAUAUAGAGCUUAGGAACAAAUAUUUAUAUUACUUGCAUAUGAAGGAGUUUGGUAACGUGAAAAAAAUAACAUUAAAUUAAAAAAAUUUUUUUUUAAUUUAGAGAUCAGUGGGGGAGAGGGACGGAGAAAGAGGGGCAGAGGGAAGUCAAGACAGAAUCUUA